rnacentral:rRNA from 1 species
UACGUAGGGUGCAAGCGUUAAUCGGAAUUACUGGGCGUAAAGCGUGCGCAGGCGGUUCUAUAAGACAGAUGUGAAAUCCCCGAGCUCAACUCGGGAACUGCGUCCGAUACUGGCAGGCUUGAAUCCGGGAGAGGGAUGCGGAAUUCCAGGUGUAGCGGUGAAAUGCGUAGAUAUCUGGAGGAACACCGGUGGCGAAGGCGGCAUCCUGGACCGGCAUUGACGCUGAGGCGCGAAAGCCAGGGGAGCAAACGGG